rnacentral:misc_RNA from 1 species
AAGUCGUAACAAGGUUUCCGUAGGUGAACCUGCGGAAGGAUCAUUCACAACAAUGCAGCAAUUGGGAGUGCAUGUGUGUAUUCACACAUGCAUGAACAGUUGUCUGUUUAAAACAAACCAAAACCAAACGCGGACUGUACAACAAAACAAACCAAAUGCCUUAUGCUGUAAUAGUGGAUGAACGCCUUUAGUCUAUUAUUAUCAGUGUUUGGCGAGUUACCAUGUCGGGUAGUGAGUCUUGAUGUAUAUAUUGCAUCGGGGUGAGCUGCUUGUUAGUGUGUUGAUUGUUCCUAGUGGUGGUGGAUUCCACACUAGGCGGAAAUGUGUAUACGUAACAUAAUACAACUCUUUGCAAUGGAUAUCUUGGUUCUC